ensembl:snRNA U1 U1 spliceosomal RNA
AUAUUUUAAAGGAGGUAUCUUGUCAUCCAAGAUAACCAUUGUUAUGGUUAAUAAUGAACAGUUUUCUCUGGGUGAGGCUUAUCCAUUGCACACCUGAUGUGCUGACCCCUGCGAUUUCCCCAAAUGUUGGAAUGUUGCCUGCAUAAUUUGUGGUAAUGGGGACUGUGUUCCUGCUUUUCCCUG